AAAGAAACCAACCGGGAUUGCCUCAGUAACGGCGAGUGAAGCGGCAAGAGCUCAAAUUUGAAAGCUGGCCCCUUCGGGGUCCGCGUUGUAAUUUGCAGAGGAUGCUUCGGGUGCGGCCCCUGUCUAAGUGCCCUGGAACGGGCCGUCAGAGAGGGUGAGAAUCCCGUCUUGGGCAGGGUGCCCGUGCCCGUGUGAAGCUCCUUCGACGAGUCGAGUUGUUUGGGAAUGCAGCUCUAAAUGGGUGGUAAAUUUCAUCUAAAGCUAAAUACCGGCCGGAGACCGAUAGCGCACAAGUAGAGUGAUCGAAAGAUGAAAAGCACUUUGAAAAGAGAGUUAAACAGCACGUGAAAUUGUUGAAAGGGAAGCGCUUGCGACCAGACUCGGCCCCGGGGUUCAGCCAGCACUCGUGCUGGUGUACUUCCCCGGGGGCGGGCCAGCGUCGGUUUGGGCGGCCGGUCAAAGGCCCCAGGAAUGUAUCGCCCUCCGGGGUUGUCUUAUAGCCUGGGGUGCAAUGCGGCCAGCCCGGACCGAGGAACGCGCUUCGGCACGGACGCUGGCGUAAUGGUCGCAAACGAC
rnacentral:rRNA from 8 species